rnacentral:rRNA from 1 species
GGAUUAGUGGCGAACGGGUGAGUAACACGUGGGCAAUCUGCCCUUCACUCUGGGACAAGCCCUGGAAACGGGGUCUAAUACCGGAUACCACUCCUGCCUGCAUGGGCGGGAGUUGAAAGCUCCGGCGGUGAAGGAUGAGCCCGCGGCCUAUCAGCUUGUUGGUGGGGUAAUGGCCCACCAAGGCGACGACGGGUAGCCGGCCUGAGAGGGCGACCGGCCACACUGGGACUGAGACACGGCCCAGACUCCUACGGGAGGCAGCAGUGGGGAAUAUUGCACAAUGGGCGAAAGCCUGAUGCAGCGACGCCGCGUGAGGGAUGA